GGGGAUUUAGCUCAGUGGUAGAGCGCUUGCCUAGCAAGCGCAAGGCCAUGGGUUCGAUCCCCAGCUCCA
rnacentral:tRNA from 1 species